GUCAGUCAGUCUGUAGGCCUACCAUCAGCCAGGAAAGGAGACCGGCUCAGACUUCGUGCGGUCAAGUCAGUCACAGAGGCUAGUGUAGACUUUUCCACGAGACAACUUCAUUCUGAAAAUGUCUGACUACAUUGUGAAGAUCGAGGGAACUGGUCCUGGGGAGUCCGUGGCGACCACUGAGAAGUCCAGGGACCCGUCUCCUGAGCCUGCUGUCCUGCCCGUGACAGAUAUGUCCUUCCUUGGAGCAAUGGAAGACACGAAUGAGAUGCCUAGCUCGCUGGAACAAGCGAUGGACACUCAAACACAAGAAAAUGGUGAACAAGUGGAAGCGACUGAAAGUCAGAGGAAGAGACUAAAGGGAAACCUAGGUUUGUCCUCUGCUGGGUGCUCACUUGGAUUUAUGCCAAGCUUUGACUCAGUGUCCCUUACAUCUACGGUAAACACGGGUAACAACUCAGGGGAGAGUCUUGAGCAGCUGCAGUACCAAGGGGUCCUGAGGAUGGAUACAUGUGAUGAGGUGGAGGUCAAGGUGCCAGUAGAUAAUGACACCCUGACGACCACAGUCGUUGACUGUGACUCCUCGACCACCCUGGACCAGAUAGCCUCCUUGAGGACCUUUCAGGAGGAGAAGGACAGAGUGCUGGACAUGGAUACUGUGGAUUGUCUCUCGAGAACAAUUAGCUUUGAAAGCAGCCCAAUUCCGGAUAGGAUUGGAAGCGCAGAGACAUAUAGCAGUGGUGUACGCUCGGCAACCCCCUACGCUUCAAAACCAUCCCUUACAUCUAUUGACGCACAUUGGGCUGAAAACGAGGUGGAGGUCAAGGUGCUCGAUAUUGACUUCGCUUCAUUCACCCUGGACCGGAUUUCCUUCUCCAGUACUGUUCAGGAGGAGAAUGACAGAGUGACGGACAUGGACAAGGUGGAUUGUCGCUCCCUGUCGAGAACAGUUCGCUUUGAAACCAGCCCAAUUCCGGAGAGGAGUGGAAGCGUGAAGACGUAUUGCAGUAGUGUACGGUCACCCACCCCCUACCAGUCAAGAUUAUCCCUUACCUCCACAGAGGCACAUGAUCAUGUUGCACACAGCUCAGACAGCACACAAGCGAGCCUCCGAAUCCUGAUGGACCCUCUGGAGGAGCUUUUUGGUAUCUCUCAGGAUAUGAUAUACACAGAUGUCCAGGAUAGAGUGAUUGAAAUGCUGCAGGACAUCUACUCGGCGGCUAACCAACUAGAGCAACAGCUAUUCCAGAGUGUCUCUGACAGGCAAGCCAGAGCCAUUGUAAAGGCGGUAGUGCAGCAGAUCAAUGCUGCCCUGUCCCAGGCUCUCCAACAAACCUGCUCGGGAUCACAAUUACUUACUAUAGUGGGAUCUGCCAAGCUCUAUAGCAAAGAUGGGUCGGCAGCGGUUGAGGGUCAAGGAGUUCCUUUGAUCACCCCCUCAGCAGAGGGAGACAGGGAUAGCAUCGAGGAAGGAAGUAGACCGUUGAAACGUAGUUUUAACAGCUUCGUUCGUGUUUUGUCAGCAAAAAUGAGGAGGAUCUCCAAAGGGAUCAAACAGAGCAGCAAGAGUGCACAACAAGAGCACAGGCUAGUUGUUGAACUGCCAGUAUCAUCUGACAAGGGUACAGAGCAAGAGGAAACUGGAUCUAGUACAGUUUCAGUACCCUCUAGGGAGGAGAUCACCGAGGUCAGUGAAGUUCUUCAGUCGGAAUCUGAUGAUUCUCUACUUCCUACCAUCGGGGCAAUGCUGUUCCACGUUGGAUCCAUGCCUCAUACAGAGGAUUCAGUGGAGCUAUACAGCAGGGUCCCAUCAAAGUUGACACCAGAAAGUAUGGUGCAGGAAGAACGUGUUGAUGAAGGCUUGUCUAAGGCUUGUUCCAGGACAACUUCUUCAACCAGCACCACUUUAAGCAUGGACGACAUCCAGAAGACUGUUGCUACUAUGACCACUUCUGGAAGUGACAUGGGUAGAAGCAUUAUCACUACCCCAGAAAUGCCAGAGCAGAGUCUGCACCACCAGGGAAGAGGACUGGACAGCCCUGUCUUCUCAGAGAGAAGAGUGGCUGAAAGUGGCAAAAACAGCCCUGCAACUUGGUCAGACACAGAGGGAUUAAGUUCUGCAAAAAAGGCUGUUUGGGAGUUAAUGGAGAGGAUGGUGCUCAGCCGUGAGGAUGCAGCGUCAGCAGAGAAAAGCCUGGAUAUCCUCCUCUCCUCUGGCAUUCUCCGUCCUCACACUGACAAGUUAGUCGACCAGCUGCACAGCCUUUUGAUGGUGAACAGCACACUUACAGCACAAUCUCUGUCUGGCAGGUCAAAAUCAGAAUCUGCUCUGCCUAAGUCCAGAAUGACAGGGGAACUCCAAAGGGAGAUCUCAAGGAAGGGUUUGCUGGAGAUAGCAUAUACUAUCACCGAGAGAUCUAUAAAGACCCUUUUGGAGCAGUUGCUCACUGCCCUCCUCCCUCCUUCUGCAGUGGUUGAGGUUGCCAGGUCAUGCCAGAACAUCAGACCAGUCACUCCCUCUCAGGUGAUGAGUUCUGAAGUUAGCCCAGGGUGCUGCAACCCUCUUUCAAUGAUUUGCCGUGUGAUCAUAGAUGUCUUUACGAUCACAAGACAGGUGGUUGAGACAGCCAGUGAAGUGGAUAUGUCUCCCCCCGGAAAAUACAUUGAUGGAAGGCUUUGUAGCAACACAGCACCACUGCCCACUGAUUCAACCCCACCUGUCCCCCCGACCAACUGCGAGACCGACAGAUCUUUGGCUACCAAACCAACAAACAAAGUCAAGAGCUUGACAUUCUCAUUUCCUAAGCUUCCAAAGAUCAGUCUCAAAAAGAGCAAGAAAGUCAACAAAGUGGAUAUCGCUCCCUUUGAGACCACCAAGGAUCCUGUUGAUGUCGACUAUAAUAUAUUCUGCACUACUCCAACACCAGAGAAUGCACCACGACAAGAGGAAGAUCUUGCCUCCUGCUCCUCACAGAGGAAGGAGAGGCCAAAGAACCAAUUAUUUUUAAUCAGGGUAUACUCUGCCAUGACUAGGCCUGACAACAGCAAGCAUCAGUAGAAAUGUCCUUUUGGUUAUUUGGCAACACCACCAGAGGACCAUCUUUUCUCCUACUCCACAAUGAGGAAGGAGAGGCUCAAGAAGCAUUCCUUUUCACUGCCAUAACCAAUCAUUUCAACUCAGUCCUAUUGACAUCCCACUGGGCAAAAACUGGUUGAAUCAACGUCGCUUCCACAUCAUUUCAACCCCCCCAAAGAUCUAUGUGAUGACGUUGAAUCAACGUGGAGAACUGAUUGUAUUUGCUACAAGUCAUCAACCUUCCAAAGAAAUAUCUCAACAAAAAGGUAAGUGGAUCUCACUCCCCUUCCGACCAUCCAGAGUGAGACCACCAAGGGUCCUGCUUAUACCCUUCGGACCAUCCAGGGUGAGACCACCAAGGAUCCUCCAGAUGCCCUUUUGACCAUCCAGGGUGAAACCACCGAGGAUCCUCCAGAUGCCCCUCCAACCAUCCAGGGUGAAACCACCGAGGAUCCUGCUGAUGCCCUUCUGACCAUCCAGAUGUUCUACACCACCACCAGAGGAAGAACUUGCGUCCUGCUCCCAAAUGAGGCAGGCGAGGCCCAUGAAACGUCCUUUCACUUCCUUCAAUAAUAAACUG